CAACGUAGGUAACCUGCCCAUGUGUCCGGGAUAACUGCUGGAAACGGUAGCUAAAACCGGAUAGGUAUACAGAGCGCAUGCUCAGUAUAUUAAAGCGCCCAUCAAGGCGUGAACAUGGAUGGACCUGCGGCGCAUUAGCUAGUUGGUGAGGUAACGGCCCACCAAGGCGAUGAUGCGUAGCCGGCCUGAGAGGGUAAACGGCCACAUUGGGACUGAGACACGGCCCAA
rnacentral:rRNA from 1 species